rnacentral:rRNA from 1 species
AGCGAACGCUGGCGGCAGGCCUAACACAUGCAAGUCGAACGAACUCUUCGGAGUUAGUGGCGGACGGGUGAGUAACACGUGGGAACGUGCCUUUUGGUUCGGAAUAACUCAGGGAAACUUGUGCUAAUACCGAAUGUGCCCUUCGGGGGAAAGAUUUAUCGCCAUUAGAGCGGCCCGCGUCGGAUUAGCUAGUUGGUGAGGUAACGGCUCACCAAGGCGACGAUCAGUAGCUGGUCUGAGAGGAAGACCAGCCACACUGGGACUGAGACACGGCCCAGACUCCUACGGGAGGCAGCAGUGGGGAAUCUUGCGCAAUGGGCGAAAGCCUGACGCAGCCAUGCCGGGUGAAUGAUGAAGGUCUUAGGAUUGUAAAAUUCUUUCACCGGGGACGAUAAUGACGGUACCCGGAGAAGAAGCCCCGGCUAACUUCGUG